rnacentral:sRNA from 1 species
AAAUUAAAUAUCCUAAUUUCCCAUUAAAAUCCAUCUUUAAUUUUUGACCACAAACUGAGAUAUUUGAAAAAGAUAACGACGUUUGUUUUUACCGUUAAUGUGGAACUGUUAGGUUUAGGUUUAAUAGUUAUCGUUUCAUUUUCCCCUACUCUAUGCCGCUUUCUUCGCAAUUUUGAAGUUACAUGGACGAAGAAGGAGAGAAACGUAAACGAUCAUGUUCUCCUGAGUCUUCCGACAAAAGAUCUGGUGAUGAAGUUGAUUGGUUAAGUGAAUUGCCAGAAGCCUUGCUCGUUUAUGUUCUCCUGAAUCUUCCGACAAAAGAUGUGGUUAAGACUAGUGUCUUAUCCACCAAAUGGAGAAAUAUCUGGAGGUGUGUUCCUGGAUUGGAUUUGGAUAAUGGUCAUUUCACGGAAUUCAAU